GUUUCUCCACACAUAAUGAAGAGCCUUUUGCACUCCUGCUGUUUUCCAUGGUUACCAAAUUCUGCAGUGGCCUGGCCCCCCACUUUCCAAUAAAGAAGGUUCUGCUUCUCCUCUGGAAGGUGGUCAUGUUUACCCUUGGUGGAUUUGAGCACCUGCAGGCUCUCAAAAUACAGAAGCGUGCAGAGUUGGGCCUGCCUCCACUAGCUGAGGACAGUAUCCAGGUCGUAAAGAGCAUGCGUGCUGCCUCUCCGCCUUCUUACACUCUUGAUCUAGGCGAGUCUCAGCUGGCCCCGCCACCCUCCAAACUGCGGGGCCGCCGUGGCUCUCGAAGG
rnacentral:lncRNA from 1 species